UGAGGAAUAUUGGGCAAUGCCCGCAAGGGUGACCCAGCAACGCCGCGUGAAGGAUGAAGGCCGUAAGGUUGUAAACUUCUGUUAGAGGGGACGGAAGAUUUCGGUAGUACCGGGAUUUGACUGUACCCUCAGAGAAAGCCCCGGCUAACUACGUGCCAGCAGCCGCGGUAAUACGUAGGGGGCAAGCGUUGUCCGGAUUUACUGGGUGUAAAGGGCGCGCAGACGGGUUGACAAGUCAGAGGUGAAAUCCUGCAGCUUAACUGCAGAACUGCCUUUGAAACUGUUAAUCUUGAGUACGGAAGAGAGAGACGGAAUUCCAGGUGUAGUGGUGAAAUACGUAGAUAUCUGGAAGAACACCAGUUGCGAAGGCGGUCUCUUGGUCCGUUACUGACGCUCAGGCGCGAAAGCGUGGGUAGCAAACAG
rnacentral:rRNA from 1 species